GUAGGGGGCAAACGUUGUCCGGAUUUACUGGGUGUAAAGGGUGCUCAGGCGGUUUUGUAAGUUAGAAGUGAAAUCCUAGGGCUUAACUCUGGAACUGCUUUUAAUACUGCAAAGCUUGAAUGUGGAAGAGGAUGAUGGAAUUUCUGGUGUAGCAGUGAAAUGCGUAGAUAUCAGAAAGAACACCAGUGGCGAAGGCGGUCAUCUGGUCCACUAUUGACGCUAAAGCACGAAAGCGUGGGGAGCAAACAGGAUUAGAUACCCUGGUAGUCCACGCCUUAAACGAUGAAUACUAGACGUUGGGGUCAAACUCAGUGUCGCAGCUAACGCAUUAAGUAUUCCACCUGGGGAGUACGAUCGCAAGGUUGAA
rnacentral:rRNA from 1 species